rnacentral:rRNA from 1 species
AUUGAACGCUGGCGGCAGGCCUAACACAUGCAAGUCGAGCGGAGCGGCGGACGGGUGAGUAAUGCCUAGGAAUCUGCCUGGUAGUGGGGGAUAACGUCCGGAAACGGGCGCUAAUACCGCAUACUAUCAGAUGAGCCUAGGUCGGAUUAGCUAGUUGGUGGGGUAAAGGCCUACCAAGGCGACGAUCCGUAACUGGUCUGAGAGGAUGAUCAGUCACGCGUGAACUGAGGCACGGUCCAGAGUCCUAGGGGAGGAAGCGGUGGGGAAUAUUUGACAAUGGGAGAAAGCCUAAUACGGCCAUGCCGCGUGUGUGAGGAGGCUCUUCGGAUUGUAAGGCACAUUAAGUUGGGGAGCGUUGCCAACAGAAUAAGCACCGGCUAACUUCGUGACAGCAGCCGCGGUAAUAC